CGGCGCGGACUCGGGUUUCCAUUCAUCGUGGGCAGCUGGGGGGCCGGAGCGGGGUCCUCGGGGGGUGAGCUGCGGCAGUUCGCUGCUCGAGGCUGCGCUUCGAGGCGGGCCCCGAAGGCCAGGCUUGGUGGAGAGCUGGUUCUGUCAGCAGCCGGGCUUCUCCAUGUCUGACAGCUUCCCUUUGCUCACCCAAACUCUGGAAGCUGUCGUCUAAGAUCAUGGCACAGGCUUUGGAUGGCUGGUGGGGGCCCAGUCUGUUUCCAGGACAGAGUCAUGAAUGAGCCCUCCCCUGAAGAAGAUGAACACUGUGUCCAUACCUGACAGAGAGUGGAGGUGUGGAAGGAAGAGCCCGGUUACAUCUCAUUAAAGAUGCCCUCUGAUGCUCUGUGGGUACUUUCUGUCAACUGGCUGCUAACGCCACCUCCUGAAGAAAGUCUCUCCGAUCCAUUGACCUAGUUUCCUAUUCUGGCACUUGGACACACUGUCUGGAUCACUGCAGUUUUACACAUUUUUCUCGAAGGACCAGAAGUUUGCCAACUAAGCAUCAAGUGGCGUGGAUUACAGUUUGGAAACACCAGCAACUCGAAGAUGUCUCCUCACUUUUCUUUCUCCGAUGAUGGAGAUGUUACUGUCGUGUUCUACAAAAGUGAAGAAGUUGAUCUUGAAGAUUUAAACCCAGGCACUGGCCCACGCCUGUUUACAGUGUAAAAUGGCGGAGUUCAAACAAAUGCAUAUUUUGUGAAUAUUUUCAUCAAA